rnacentral:rRNA from 1 species
CAAUAGCGUAUAUUAAAGUUGUUGCAGUUAAAAAGCUCGUAGUUGGAUUUCUGGUUGAAGCGACCGGUCGGGCGUUGAUUCGUCUGCACUGGAGUCGGUUUUGGCCAUCCUCUAGGAAAGUGCGUCUGGUAUUAAGUUAACGGGCGUAUGAUCCUGGUCUUUUACUGUGAAAAAAUUAGAGUGUUUAAAGCAGGCCUUCGCCUUGAAUACAUUAGCAUGGAAUAAUAAGAUAGGACUUUGGUCUAUUUUGUUGGUUUGCAGACCGAAGUAAUGAUUAAUAGGGAUAGUUGGGGGUAUUUAUAUUCCGAUGUCAGAGGUGAAAUUCUUAGAUUUUCGGAAGAUAAACUUAUGCGAAAGCAUUUACCAAGGAUGUUUUCAUUAA